GAAGUACUCCCUCUGUCCGGAAUUACUUGUCAUCAAAAUGGAUGUGUCUAGAACUAAAAUACAUCUAGAUACAUCCAUUUCAAUGACAAGUAUUUCCAGACGGAGGGAGUACAAG
rnacentral:pre_miRNA from 1 species